rnacentral:rRNA from 1 species
AGUGAGCGCUGGCGGUAGGCCUAACACAUGCAAGUCGAACGGCAGCACAGUAAGAGCUUGCUCUUACGGGUGGCGAGUGGCGGACGGGUGAGGAAUACAUCGGAAUCUACUUUUUCGUGGGGGAUAACGUAGGGAAACUUACGCUAAUACCGCAUACGACCUACGGGUGAAAGCAGGGGAUCUUCGGACCUUGCGCGAUUGAAUGAGCCGAUGUCGGAUUAGCUAGUUGGGGGGGUAAAGGCCCACCAAGGCGACGAUCCGUAGCUGGUCUGAGAGGAUGAUCAGCCACACUGGAACUGAGACACGGUCCAGACUCCUACGGGAGGCAGCAGUGGGGAAUAUUGGACAAUGGGCGCAAGCCUGAUCCAGCCAUACCGCGUGGGUGAAGAAGGCCUUCGGGUUGUAAAGCCCUUUUGUUGGGAAAGAAAAGCAGCAGGUUAAUACCCCGCUGUUCUGACGGUACCCAAAGAAUAAGCACCGGCUAACUUCGUG